rnacentral:rRNA from 1 species
GAUAGAGGCCUACCAUGGUGGUAACGGGUAACGGGGUGUUAGGGCACGACACCGGAGAGGGAGCCUGAGAAACGGCUACCACAUCCAAGGAUGGCAGCAGGCGCGCAAAUUACCCAAUCCCGACACGGGGAGGUAGUGACAAUAAAUAACAAUACGGGGUUCUUUAGGAUCUCGUAAUUGGAAUGAGUACAAUUUAAAUCUCUUAACGAGGAACAAUUGGAGGGCAAGUCUGGUGCCAGCGGCCGCGGUAAUUCCAGCUCCAAUAGCGUAUAUUAAAGUUGUUGCAGUUAAAAAGCUCGUAGUUGAAUUUCGGGGUUAGUAGGUUGGUCAUGCCUCUGGUAUGUACUGGUCUCACUGAUUCCUCCUUCCUUAUGAACCGUAAUGCCAUUAAUUUGGUGUUGCGGGGAAUUUGGACUGUUACUUUGAAAAAAUUAGAGUGUUUAAAGCAAGCUAACGCUUGAAUACAUUAGCAUGGAAUAAUGAAAUAGGACGUUCGAUCUUAUUUUGUUGGUUUCUAGGAUUGACGUAAUGAUUAAUAGGGAUAGUUGGGGGCAUUAGUAUUCAAUUGUCAGAGGUGAAAUUCUUGGAUUUAUUGAAGACUAACUACUGCGAAAGCAUUUGCCAAGGAUGUUUUCAUUAACCAAGAACGAAAGUUAGGGGAUCGAAGACGAUCAGAUACCGUCGUAGUCUUAACCAUAAACUAUGCCGACUAGGGAUCGGAUGA